rnacentral:lncRNA from 1 species
CCUCUCGGGUGCCGAGUUCAGGUUGCGGCGGCUCCGGCGGCGGCUAGACGAGAUCCUGGGCGACAUAAUCAAGGAGCAUGAGGGCAAGGCUUCCGCGAGCAGGGGCGACAAAGCUGGAGAGGUAGACGACCUAGUGGACGUGCUGCUGAGGCUCAAAGAUGACCCCCAACUGGAAGUGCCCUUGACGAUGGAAAACGUCAAGGGUGUGAUCGUGGUGAGGAACGAUCCAUCCAUCGAUCGAUUCCCGUGAUACUAAUCUAUUGACUACCCACAUCGCUCUUGUUCUUGUGAUCUACAGGACAUGUUCGUGGCGGGCACCGAGACGUCAUCGACCGUCGUCGAAUGGGCCAUGUCGGAGCUGAUGAGGAACCCCGAGAUCAUGGAGAGAGCGCAGAAGGAAGCGAGGGAAUUAGCUGCGCAACGGAGGAACAUAAUAGAGGAGAGCGACAUCUCCGAGCCAAACUACAUGAAGCUAAUCAUCAAGGAGACGCUGCGGCUUCACCCGCCGGCCACGCUGUUACCGAGACUGUGCAGGGAGACCUGCGAGGUCAUGGGAUACAGGAUAGACGACGGCACUCGCGUCUUCGUCAACGCAUGGGCGAACGGCAGGGAUGCGCGUUACUGGGACGACGCCGAGAGCUUCAAGCCAGAGAGGUUCCAAGGCAGCGCCAUGGAUUUCAAGGGAGUCGAUUUCGACUACUUGCCGUUCGGGGCCGGGCGGAGGAUAUGCCCCGGAAUCGGGUUCGGGAUGGCCACCGUGGAGCUCGCCCUGGCUCACCUCCUCCUGCACUUCGACUGGGAGCUGCCCCAUGGAAUGAGACCGGAGGAGCUCGACAUGUGCGAGACCAUGGCGUUUGUCGCACCGAGGAAGACGGAGCUGAAGCUGAUCGCUACCAUUCGAGUUCCUAUCCCCAUCGCUACCUGAAGCUUUCUUGUUGGCGCAUUUAUUAUUAAGUGAAGGAUCUAAAUCAAAGAACAAUAAAUCUAAGAAUUAUAAUGCAUUCCUUUCGGUUGAGAAAAAUCUUCUCUACAAACACAACUAGAUUAGUAUUUUUCUCUCUUUCUACCAUUCACUUCUCUUUAAUCUCUAUUAAAUUAUUAUAUAUAUAUAUAUAAGUAAUUAGUAAAAUUUCUCUAAGAUAAUCUCUAAAUAAAUUUUAUUAUAAUUAAAAUUUCUUUUUGUUGAUCGACAAUCGAAUUCAAUCAUACUUAUAAUAUAAUUAGAUGUCUGUCUUUCAUAAAGUGUCAACUUCUCAUAAGUUGAAAAGAUAUAGACUAAGUAUAGAUAGGAAUGAGAGGAAGACAAUUAGCUUAUAGAAAUAUACAUCUGUUGUAGGAAAUAAUGUUGCCACGAAAUAAUUUUAGAUGUGAUUGAUGUAUAUAGAUAAAACCAUAUGCCUCCCAAGAAACAUGCACUUUACUACGUUCCAGAUGACUGUGUUGGAUUUCUCCUAUAGGCAGAUAUAUAUAGAUAAACAAUGUGUUCAUGUCAAUCAGCAAGAAAAGACAACUACUUAAAUAAAAUUGGGUUCUCAAAUGGACGAGGGUGUCUAUACUCCAUCUGAUUCUAUACAUCUUUAGAUCAUCGAAGUAUUGUACUUAUGGAUAAUAUUAGAUUCUCAUUAGAUUUUAGUGGCUUUGAUCAAAUCAAUUGACCAUUGUUGCCAAGAUGUCAUUUUCAAAGAUUUUUUCUUCUUUUAUUGUAGGAAAAUAUUCUAGAAUGACAACUUUUAGUUUCAUUUUUGUUUAGGAGAGAUGUUUUUCCCACACAAAAAAGAGAGACGCUUAAAAUCUAUGAUCACUAGAACACCACUGAGAUAAGGAAUUGCUUCUCAAAGAAAGCAACAAAAACACACAAACAAAUAAAUUUCGUGAAAAAAAUAUGAUCAUGACACGUCGAGCUCGUCUGCGUUAGGACAAUUAUGAUCAAUAUUUGUUUUCACAGUUUGCAUUGAUGCUCGACACAAGCAUCAAUGGCUACACACUGCAAUUUGCACAGUUGUUUUCGUUAAUACUGAGUCUGCUAAUUGAUGCAAAUUGUCAUUGCAAAGCUCAUUCCUGGCCUGUUCGGUCUCUCGAGGCCUGUAGACAACAUCACAAAUGCAUUUACAGCUCACAUCGGUGACCAUCACAGUGAAGUAACGGAAUUGGAACCGAGGAGGAAGAGAGCUCGCCUUCUGUAUCGGUUAUGGACAAGUGUAACCAGAGGGUUGAAGUCCUCGAAGACACUGUCCUCCCACUCUAUUGCUGAAAUGAUGUCUGCCAAAUGUAAUUCUCGUCCUGCCACACGACCUCCUUAUCAGUGCUGCAAUUCUCGUCACUCCUCUCCGCGGAGUUCCAUCUACGUGCAUCUUCCUCGUCUUUUCCAUCACCAAGUACUAGCUCGACCGCCUUGGAAGCCCUUGGUUGGAAUAUAUAUAUAUAUAUAUAUAUAUAUAUAUAUAUAUAUAUAUAUAUAUAUAUAAAAUUGACUUUUCUGUAAAACUUCAAGGAGAAUAGGAAGAGAAUAGUAUAAUAAACCACGAGUACUUUCAAUUAGUAGUGCUUUUGACUGACUGAUCAAAGACCACCUAUUUAUAUUAACUAAAAGAUAAAAUAUUUUUUUUAAUUAUAAAAAAUAUUAUAUCCCAAUAAAUCUUUUCACCCUCAUCUAUUUAUUUAAAUCUAAAUUCUUCUAUUUUAUUUUAUCUAUUCCUAAUUAUUUGAAUUAAUCUUAUCACACCCCUUUAAUUCAAAAGGGUUAUAACUUGAAGAUCUCUUGAAAAAAAUAAAAUUAUUAUUUAUUUUUUUAUCAUCCUCAUAGUUGCUAUUAAUUUAUCAAUUUUCUUAUCAUAAAUCAAGUAUUUUUCAUUUUAAAAAUAGCAUAACAUUAUUUUCUCAUCACUUCCUAUACUAAUGAGAUUUUAUUUUAAAUUAUAAAUAAACAUCGCAUCAUCAAUGAAUUUUUUACCAAAUCUGGUGUUCACGUUAAUUGUUCCUUUCCCUUUAACUUGAACUUUACUGUCAUUUCUCAUUUGUACUAUAGAUCAAAUUGAAUUAUCAAGGAACAACUUUAGUCCUCUGUCAUAUAAUAAAGAUACGGAGUAUUCUUUAUUAAAUGCUAUAAGGAAAAUAUUUUCUUUAUCCUUUUUAUCGUUAUUAUUUUCCUCAUGAUAAUUUGUUUGAGUUUUGUUCUAAUAUUUUUUUUAGAUGACCAUAUAUCUUUUUCAAGAUGACCAUAUUUUUUUUACGGUGAGAGCAGAGAGGAAUAUUUAGUUUUUUAUUUUUUAUUUUUUCAAUAUAUUUAAUUUUUUUAUAAUAAAAAUAUUGACGUGUUUCUUUAUUACCUACAUUAGAAUUCCUCUAACCAUCAUAUAAUUGGCAUUGUUCUUUACCAUUUUGAUCUUUCUCUUGAGAUCUAGUUUUUUACUUUUUCUUUUGGUCUUCUUUUGAUGUAUCUUUAUGAAGGGCUCUAAAGUUUCAUGUGAAGAUUAUUCACUUUUUAUUCAUGGACUAAAAGCAAGCCUAUUAAUUCAUCAACAGAUAAUAUACUUGUACCUUUAGCUUCUUCUAUAGCUAGUAGAAAUAAUAUCAAAUUUUGAAGAUCUUUUAAAUUUUAUUAAACUUUUUCUACUACAAUUUGAUCUUUUAAAUUUUCACCAUAAAAUCUCAUUUGUUUCAUAAUAGAAGAGACUUAAAAAAAAAAAAACCAAUGAUAGAUUAAGAAUUUUUCUUCAUAAGAGCUUCAAAUUGACGCUGAAGAAUUUGAAGUUUUGAAACUUUUACCUUAUUUCUGCCUCCAAACAUACUUUUUAAUAAUUUUCAAGUUUUUAUUGAUAUUGAUAUUAUCAUGAUUUGAGGAAAUAGAAGCUCAUCUAUUGCUUGUUGUAGCAUGUAGAAGGCUAUUACAUCUUUUUGCAUGUUCUUAUUCAUUUGAUCUUUUCGAUCUUCAAUAAUAUUAGGAUUAUAUAGAUCAUACUCAACAAAACUAUUCACUACUAAAUUUUACAAUCCUUGUGAAAUUUUACAAUAAUAUUAGCCUCCUUUUUGCCUCCUCUCGACGUAGGACGAACGCCCACGGCAGCGGAGGAGAAGGAUGAGCAGAUCAAAACCAGAGAGAGAGAAGAGGGAGCGAAUUUGUAGAGAGUUGGUGUGAUUAGUGUGGGAUAUGAUUAAGAGAGAGAGAGAGAGAGAGUGAUAAGGGUAAAAAUGGUGAUGUCACACACGACGUCAGCCGACGCCUCAUGUCUCGAUCGGCGCAACUGCACUCGAUUAACCGAGCCGGAACACUGGCCGAGGCUCAUUAACACACUUGGUUCUUCACGCCACGCCAACCCCAUAUCAGACGCUAUCAGCCUGCCUCCUGCAGGAAGCCACGUCAAGUAACAUCAAACUCAUAUAUAAAUACCCCAGAGUUCUAAACGAACAGGGAGGGAGACGAUUUCACCCAAAAACUCCUCUCCCAAUCACUGACUUGAUCGUCGGAGGGGUCGGGCUGAACCGCCGACCCGACCUGUGUGCAGGUACUCAACUAAAGCCGAUCCAACCCGGCGUUGUGGAACUUUCCAGCCAGACCCCCGCAAUCGGCCGCCCCAAGAUCCCGAGAAGAGUCACGCCUGAUCCCGGCCAUUCGGACCCCUGAACCAGCCGCGUCGACCCCGAGGUCACGGCUAAAAAAGUUACUUACCAUAACAGAUUGGCGCUAGAAGGAGGGGCCCGAAUGUCGAGGGAUCCUCAGACUAAUCCCGACAAACUCCCUGCCGAGGGAUCGUUCUUAGCGGGGGCGCAGACCGUGCGUCCCUUGCGCGACGGGCCGCGGGCUGACGACCUCCCCGCGACCUCGGAACGCUACUAGCGUUCAUUCGACGACCCGAAUCUGCUUCCGCCGGAGGGCGCUCCGAGCGCCCCCUCGCCAGUGUCAUCCGAGGCCUUUCACGACCUCGCUCGUCAAGUCCGAGCUCUGACGGAUAUGGUGCAAACCAUCAUCCCGCCCGUCUCCCAACCGACACCCCCGCUUAAGACUCAACUGCUACGACAACAAGAGCCGCCCGCCUGGGCCCACGUGACGCCUCCGGAGCCUCCCGCUUCGCCUCGGGUCCGACCGACCCCACUCGGGGAUCCAGUGAUGGCAGACCCGAGCGGCCCCCCGGAGCCCGAAGUAUUAUCUCCGGAGUCAACGGAUUCCCUGCGAGCCCAGCUACACUUUCUUAGUCAGCGGCUCGACGAACUAGAGAAGGAGUUUCGCAACUCAGAGGGAGAGCUCGGGAUGGACGCAUACCGAGGAUCUCCGUUCGCACCAAAGAUACGAGAUCACGCAGUUCCCCCGAACUUCCAUCUCCCUUCUUCGGACGCAUACGAUGGCUCCACUGACCCAGCGGACCAUGUUGCCGCUUUCCGUGCCCAAUUGGCACUGUACGGAACGUCUGCGCUUCAAUGUGCAGGGCGUUUCCCACGACCCUGAGGGGUCCGGCCCGCACAUGGUACAGCGGCCUGAAGACCGGAACGAUCACUUCCUUCGGCCAACUCGCCAAGGACUUCGAGCUCCACUUCGUAGCCCAUGCCCGGCCAAAGCCCUCCGCGACACUGCUCCUCGGACUCAAACAAAGAGAGGACGAGCCCCUCUCACAUUUCGUGGACCGCUUUGCCACGCAAAUCCGGAGCUUACCAGACACUCACCCCUCUCUGUUAGUUCAGGCGUUCAUGGUAGGCUUGCGACCUUCCAAAUUCUGUUGGUCCCUCGUAGAGCGACCCCCCACCACAGUACCAGAUAUGCUCCAGCGAGCUAACCGGUACAUCGCGGCGGAAGCUUGGGUGACCGCAAGGAAGAGGAGUGACUUUGGGCGACGGGCCCCGUAGCAGCGGUCAAGCAUCCGCGGUUGCUAUCCGGUGUAAUCCUCGUGCAAGGAAUCUAGCCCCUGCCUCAGUCUCUUCCAAGCGAAGGCUCCAUGUUUACCUGACCGCCUCUUGGCUCACGGUUAGCUUCGGCCUAACCCCCUCUUUUUUGCAUUCGCAUGGCUCGGUCGUAGACGGCCCGAGUCCACCUCAGCGCGGCCUGCGCGCCUGAGCAUUGCCCCUCGGUCGCAGCCUACCUGCGCCGAGCACCUCGGCCACACAUUGCCGAGAUCCACCUCGGCGCGGCUUGUCCGCCUGUGUCGUGCUACUCGGUCGCAUGGUGCCCGAGACCACGUCUGCGUGUCCUGCCCGCCUGCGUCGUGCUACUCGGCCGCAUGGCCCUCGCGACCAUGCCUGCGCGGUCUGCUCGCCUGCGUCGUACUCCUCGGCAGCAUGAUGCCCGAGACCACACCUGCGCAGCCUGCCCGCCUGCGUCGUGCUCCUCGCUCCCAUCAUCCCCGAGACACACCUGCGCGGCCAGCCCGCCUGCGUCGUGCUCCUUGGCUCCAUGUUCCCGAGACACACCUGCACGGCCAGCCCGCCUGCGUCGUGCCCCUCGGCUCCAUACUCCCCGAGACACGCCUGCGCGGCCAGCCUGCCUGCGNNNNNNNNNNNNNNNNNNNNGGCAAGAAAGAAUGAGGAUUUGACGUUUACGUUACUCAACUCUUUAAUCACUCUCUCGCUCUCUCUCUCUCUCUCUCUCUCUCGGUUUGACUCCGCAGAUAUGUAGAGAGAGCAACAACGACACCUCGACGGGAAUUACGUCGAGGAGGUUGUAUGCUCUUUUUACAAUUUUCUGAAAUAACCUAAUACGUAACAAAAAUUAAAAUGUUAACGAGAUUGGCAGUUCAAAACUUCAUUCGAUAAAUAUGAUGAUGUCUCCCAAGUUUAACCGAUUAAGAAGUUAAUUAUUUUAUAGUAAAAUCUAAAAUUAAAAUGUAAAAAAAAGUCAAUCGUAACUGUACAAGCCAUGCCUUUACGUACUAAUUUAUAAUAUUUAUCCUAAUCGAUUUGAUAUUGUUAUCUUUAUUGAUAAAGUUUACUAUUAAUAAUAAUUUUUUACUAUUGACAACCCGCUUGCUAUUGAUAAUUUUUUAAAAAAUAAAAUAUUAUUUUACUAUUUAUAGUCCUUAUAUUAACUAUUUUUUAUCUUUUUUUUAUAACCUCUUAUUUUAUUCUUGCUACCGACAUCCUUUCAAUUAUUGACAUUAUCGCUCACAGUUAUCGUCCGACCCUACUCAUCACCUCUUGAUAUUGACUUUCUAGAAGAAAAAUAUUGAGGAGAAAUUUGAAGAAGAGGAAGAUAUUUAUAUUUAUUUACAAAGAGUUUGUUUAGAAAUAUUAAAAAUUAAAAAAAAAUUAUAAAUGAUAAAAGAAACUUAAAAGUAGUAAUAUCCUUUUUGAUUAGUGGAUUAUGUUGCAUCUACCAACAUAGUUUUUGGAUGAAAUGAAGCUAAAAAGCAUUUCUAAAUCGGCAGUGAUAAAUUUGUUCUCAUUUUAGUCUAUUAUUGUUUUGCUUAUUUUAUAUCACUUAUUUGUGUAUCUCAUUUAGUGAUCUUUAUUUAAUAUAUAUAUUCUUAAUGAUGUCUCAUUUUCUUUUUUCUCUCUUGAUUUGCUUUGUUAUAUUUAUUUUAACAUUUAGUAAUAGAGAUAUGAGAAUAAUAACUUAAGAAAGACCAUCAAUAUCUUAACACCAUAUUAUUGAUACAUUAACGUCAUAUGAUCGACACUCAGUACUAUGUGACUAACAACUCUUUGCUACAUGAUCGAUACCUUAAUAUCAAAUGGUCAAUGCAUCAUCACCCCUCGAGUGCUGUGAUUACUGACUCAACCUUAUAAAAAUUAGUAUAUGAGAUCUAGCUUAACUAGUUGUUACUUCAUGUUCCUUAAAUGCGACGCUACAUGAUCACAUUUGUAGUCGAAGAAAAUACGUAAUCAUUUUAGACAUUAACCACACCAUUAAUCCAAAAAUCAAAUACUCCACUAUAAAUGCCCUCCAAGUAAAUUACACCUUUUAUAUUCGAUAUUAGCUUGAAUCUUUCGAACUUUUUAUUAAUUUAAAUAUCGAAGAGAUCUUAUCGCUCUCUACGUAAUUCUUUUUCAUAAUAUAUCUUACUGAACCUGCUCUGCCCUUCUCUUGACAUCAAGUUUGUGAUAGAUUUAGACUCUAAUCAAGAUUGACUUUUUACCGUCUACGAAAAAUCAAAUUCUAUUCAGCAAACUAUUGCCAUGGUAGUCAUAAAAUAUAAAACCAAAAUCAUGAAUCACAUCCUCAAAUUGUUAGAUUUUACUAAUUAGAUUUUUUAAUUCUCAUAGUUUUAUUUACUAUAAAAGUACUUAAACUUCUCCAACUACACGUACAUGGAAGAGACAGAGUGAAAUCUAUUAUAUUAUUUGCUCUAUGAGCCUGUCAUCAAUCGGUCUAUCCAGUACAUAUCAGUCUUUUUAUUAUAAUAUUAUUUUUAAUAAAAUGAUAAUAAUAAAUAUAAUUUUAGAAAAAAAAUAUAUUUCUUUUUUCACAUCAAAUUAAAAAUAUAAAAGUAGAUGCUUAGGCUAAGUUUAGAUUGGGAAUCUUGAAACAUAAAUUCUUAUUUGUUAUUUUUAUAAAAAUAAAUGAAUAAUAGUUGUUCGACGUAGUUAAGAUGUUAGGAAUAUGAGUGAUUCCGGUCAAAACCCAAAAAAACUACAUCCAAACUUGGAGUUCAAAAGAUGUAGUUAACAAGAGAAAUAUAUAGCUAGUCUCGUAUCUUACCCUCGUUGGAUAGACUAUAAUGGCCAUUAGAAAUCAAUAAAUGAUAAAGCAUGUUAAGAUGAGAAGAAGGCAUCAACAAUGUCAAUAAUGGAAGGAAUCAUAUUGGGAUUUGACUACCGACUACAAUAUAAACUUGGCUCGAUGGAUCGAUUUGUGCAUUUACUUCGUGGGGCCUUAAGCCAUGUUAAAGAUUGUGUAAUAGACCCGGUUGGAUUGGGUUGUUGAUCCAUCAAUCCUACCAGCACUGUGAUAGAUAGCAAGACAUGUUAUUAUAUGAUAUUAGCAUGGGUUAUCCAAAUGUACUACAACUAUUAUGGAUAAGGAUUCUAUUUCAGAGGUUGACUUAAAGUUCAUCUUACAUUGAGAAGAUGGAUUUAUGUAUCAAAAUGUGUAUUAGCUAUAUUUAUAUUAUUAGAGGUAAUAUAGCUUAUCUUUAAAAAUUUUUAAUUUUAUUUUAGGGUGAAUUCUCAGAAAAUUCAUAUAGCACUUUUUUUUUAUUUUUGAAUUUUUUUCCGUUGAAUACCCUAAUUUUUCUUCCUUUAUAGAAAUGUCACAAAAGAUUUUUUUUAUUUUUUAGUUUGAGAGCAUUUUGGUAUAUAUAAAAAAAAGGAUGCGAUGUCAAAAAGUUAAAAACAAAUAGACGGUUUACAAGAAAAAGAAAAAAAAAGGGGACCCUUCUAGGGAUUUUUUUUGACGUGCAAUAUACUUAAAACAUAAUAUAUAAAUAUUAUUUAGAUAAGCACUUUGUAUGAAGGAGACAUUAUAAUUAUAAUAAUUUCAAUGAUAUUAUAAUAUUUAUUAUAAAUAAUAUGACAAACAUGUUGAGAAUAAAUAAUAUUAUAUAUAAUAUAAUAUCAAAUAUAAUAGUUUUAAUUAGAAUAUAAUAUUUAUUAAAAGUAAUGUGAUAAAUGUAUUGAGAAUAAUAAUAUAAUCGACACUUCCUUACAAUCGCAUGUCGAUGUCAGGUGAUAAAUAUGUUGAGAAUAUAUAAUAUAACAUAAUAUGUUAUUAUAAUAUAAUAUUUAUUUGAAUAAGGGGAUAAAUAUGUUGAGAAUAAUGACAUAAAUUACGCUUGCAAUCAUAAAUGUGUUGAGAAUAUAUAAUAUAAUAUAAUAAUUUUUAUUAUAAAAUAUAAUAUAAUUAAAAAUGUCGAAGCAAUGGAUAAACAUGUCGAGAAUGUUAUAAUAUAAUAUAAUAAUGUUUAAUUAUAAUAUAAUAUUUAUUAGAAUAACGACAUGGCCGACACUCGCUUGCAAUGACAUGUCGUGUGUGUGAGGUUACAGCGGCAACUCUACAAAAACCAGCUGCAUUUGGCCGGUCGAUGACGCAGAGAGGGCAUCUGUGGUUCUCCAUGGAACUGCUGCAGCUCCCUUCCAUCCCAGUCUUGGUGUUCUCCUUCCUCUUCUUGCUCCUCUUGAUCAAGAAGAGAGGAUUCACCGGGUGCAGAAAUGAGAGCCACCCACCACGUCGUCCACCAGGCCCAUGGAAUCUACCCUUCGUCGGAUGCAUGCACCACCUGGUCGGGCAGCUCCCCUUCCGCGCAUUCCGCGAGCUCGCCCGCAAGCAUGGCCCCCUCAUGCUCCUCCGGCUCGGCCAGGUCGACGUCGUCGUCGUCUCCUCGCGCGAAGCCGCCGAGGAGAUCUUGAAGAACCAGAGCGUCACCUUCGCUUCCCGGCCCGAGCUCCUCUCUACCAAGUUCGUCUUCUACGGCCCAACCGGCAUCGUCUGGGCCCCCUACGGCCCUUACUGGCGGCAGCUGCUCAAGCUCUGCUGCAUGGAGCUGUUCUCCGCCGGGCGCAUCCGGUCGUUCUCCCCCAUCAGGACGGAGGAGACCCUUGACCUGAUGAGAGACAUCGCGAGGUCGGGCGGAACCACCGUCAACCUGACCGAGAAGCUCUUCGGGCUGUCGAACGCCAUCGUCUGCCGAGCGGCGUUCGGCAAGCGGCGCAAGCACCGGGAGAGGUUCAUCCCGGUCAUCAAGGAUGCUCUGGCGCUCUCCAGUGGUUUCCGCGUGGCCGACAUGUUCCCGUCGCUCAAGUUCAUCGACAUCCUCUCGGGUGCCGUGUUCAGGUUGCGGCGGCUCCGGCGGCAGCUAGACGAGAUCCUGGAAGACAUAAUCAAGGAGCAUGAGGGCAAGGCUUCCGCGAGCAGCGGCGACAAAGCUGGAGAGGUAGACGACCUAGUGGACGUGCUGCUGAGGCUCAAAGACGACCCCCAACUGGAAGUGCCCUUGACGAUGGAAAACGUCAAGGGUGUGAUCGUGGUAAGGAACGAUCCAUCGAUCGAUCGAUUCCCGUGAUACUAAUCUAUUGACUACCCACAUCGCUC